rnacentral:rRNA from 1 species
GUAGGGCUGGCGGUGAUUGAGCGUGCACACAAGUGCCAGGCGUCAAAGGUUUCCAGGCUCCACGCCGGUGACGCCAAGAACACUUUCUUCCAGGCGAAGAUCAACUCCCGAAGACGCAGAAAUCACAUCCACUCUCUGCAGUCAAAAACUGGGGUGGCCACAGCACACGAGGACAAGGCUGCCAUUGCUCACACCCAUUUCCGCCAGCUGCUCGGCACAAGGCGAGCUCUCUCUUGCUCGAUCAACUGGGAUUGCAUUCAGCUGCCAUCGGUUCAGAAUGCUGGGCUCGACAACCCGUUCACUGAAUCUGAAGUGUGGGUGGCGAUCAUGGCAUUCCCCUUUGAAAAGGCACCUGGGCCUGACGGCUUCUCUGGCGCUUUCUACAGAUCAUGCUGGGGCGUGAUUAAAGCAAGAUGUCAUGGCGGUCUUCCAUCAUUUCUACAACUUAGCUGGGGGCAAUUUUGCUGCCCUCAACUCUACCAUGAUCGCGCUGCUACCAAAGAAGGAUGA